ACAGGAAGGAAGCAUGGUAGUGUGCACGGAGAAGGAGGAGGUCUGCAUGUCUGCUCGCUUUGAUGCCCUCGGGCUCUGAUCUCGCGGGCCUGGAUUCGACCUACACGC
rfam:Zea mays cultivar B73 chromosome 8, whole genome shotgun sequence.